UGGGAAAUAUAUAAAUAAUUGAAGAAGAAACCUAAACAGAAACAGACUGUACGAAGGAAGUACAAUUCACAAUGGUGUUUUUAUCUAUUUUUAAUUUUCUAUAAUUACAAAAGGAAACAGAUUUAAAAAGAAAAUUAUACGUUUUAAUGUACAUUUAUCUUAAAUAAUGAGUGUGGGGUUGGUUAAUAAGAAAUAGUGUAUUUUCGUGUGAUGAACAGAAACAAACUUAAAGCAAAAACACUCCCACAAAAAACACCAGAUGCGGACAACAAUUAACAAACACCAAAAAGACUUGAAGCUAUAAGCAACAUAUCACGGAGUAUGGUCUUACAUUUAUUCAUCUAUAUAAGUUGCCAAAGGCUCUUUCAUAUCUACGUUACUGCUUACGGCACUAGUUGGCAAUGAUCUUGUGAUGCUUUGAAUCAGGCGAAUAGAACCAGUGACACUGGUCAAAACACUCAAUCACACAAUUCCGUAUGCUUCUAUAGCUAAUUCUGUUGUUGCUGCUUGCUGCUGGAUGGAGCUGCUAGUGAAACAGCAAAACAUUCCCCAUUUCCGAUGUAAUAGAGCGUUAGGAGCACGCCUUUCGGAUCGCAUAUUAACCGAUCACCAGCGUGCAUCUGGCGUCUGCUCCGUCGCCGCCGCUGCCGUCUUGAAGUUCUCGUCAUAUCGGUGCAACAAUUUUGAAGUAAAAUAAACUGGUCCGAUUGUGACUAAAACAUUGGCGACGACUAUGACAACAACGACACGAGGAAAACGAUAGAGAAACGAUAGCGACUCUAAGUUUUGGCAACCUCUAGCAAUCGGAUAGAUCACUGUAUGCAGGUGGAGCACCACUUCAAUUCUGGUUCUCUGGUGUGCUCGUGCUGUACGGACCUCAAAUUCAUUAUUUAUGGCAAAAGUGUAUUAAUUUUUUUUUGGAGUUGCGUAGGCGACUUAUUAUUUCGGGAAAUAAGAUUUUUCUUAAUGUUCACGCUCAGCUCAUAUAAGUACAUAACUCGCAACCACUCAUGCGCGACCUCGGAUAAGUGCCAAUUCUAUAUAUGCACCUACCUCGAUAAGUAUGCCACUUUGCAAUUAAGAAAACAUGCAAAGUUGAUUUUUUA